AUGGUCACCCUGUAGGUGGGGCGAAAUAAGCACACGUUGUCACACAAACCUACCUAAAAUUCAUCUCAGUAGGCUUUUCAGUUUGUUUCUUCCCAUAGUUAGUGUUUGUUUACAGUUAUGGUGCGAACAUAUAUAAGACAAUCUGGGAGACAGAAUUGGUCAAAAGAGGCCCUCCAGGCGGCGUUGAACACUAUAAGGCGAGACGAAACAUCCACGAAACAAGCUGCAAAGCAUGACGGUAUCCCGCGGCAGACGUUAUGGCACGUUAUGACUAUUUGCACACCAGCUGAAGAACUAGAAUUGGUGGAUUAUAUGGGAUGAAAUCAGAAGCCUAGCGUACCAGCUGGCGGGGAGAAACGAAUAAUCACACGUCACGUCUUCAACAAAAAACGGCUGUGUGGUUUCCGUAAGCGACAUCCUGAACUAUUUCUGCGUGCUCCAGAGGCAACCUCUGCGGCUCGGUUGCAAGGCUUCAACAGGGUAGCGGUGAACAAUUUUUUCGAUGUUUUGACUAAGACGUUAGCGGAAGGCAACUUUACACCAAGCAGAACGUUCAACAUCCAUGAUUCAUCCGUCCUUACCGUA